rnacentral:rRNA from 1 species
UACGUAGGGUGCGAGCGUUGUCCGGAUUUACUGGGCGUAAAGAGCGCGCAGGCGGUCGUCCAAGUCGCGUGUGAAAGCCCCCGGCUCAACUGGGGAGGGUCACGCGAUACUGGUCGACUCGAAGGCAGGAGAGGGUAGUGGAAUUCCCGGUGUAGUGGUGAAAUGCGUAGAUAUCGGGAGGAACACCAGUGGCGAAGGCGACUACCUGGCCUGUUCUUGACGCUGAGGCGCGAAAGCUAGGGGAGCAAACGGG